rnacentral:rRNA from 1 species
AAUAGAUACCCGGGUAGUCCACCCCGUAAACGUUGGGAACUAGUUGUGGGGUCCUUUCCACGGAUUCCGUGACGCAGCUAACGCAUUAAGUUCCCCGCCUGGGGAGUACGGCCGCAAGGCUAAAACUCAAAGGAAUUGACGGGGACCCGCACAAGCGGCGGAGCAUGCGGAUUAAUUCGAUGCAACGCGAAGAACCUUACCAAGGCUUGACAUACACCGGAAACGACCAGAGAUGGUCGCCCCGCAAGGUCGGUGUACAGGUGGUGCAUGGUUGUCGUCAGCUCGUGUCGUGAGAUGUUGGGUUAAGUCCCGCAACGAGCGCAACCCUCGUUCUAUGUUGCCAGCACGUCAUGGUGGGAACUCAUGGGAUACUGCCGGGGUCAACUCGGAGGAAGGUGGGGAUGACGUCAAAUCAUCAUGCCCCUUAUGUCUUGGGCUUCACGCAUGCUACAAUGGCCGGUACAAAGGGCUGCAAUACCGUGAGGUGGAGCGAAUCCCAAAAAGCCGGUCCCAGUUCGGAUUGAGGUCUGCAACUCGACCUCA